rnacentral:lncRNA from 1 species
AAAAAAUUGUUCAUCUAUACCAAACAAAAAUUAUAUAUUGUAUUUCAUCUACCUCCGUGAAUCAAAAUGUACAAAUUUGUAUGUUAAUAAAAAAAAUUCGAUAAUUAAAAGAAAAUAAUUUAAAUAUUAUUGAAUUUUACACGAAGACGAGAAAAUACACACUUGAUGAAGAAGAACAAGAGGAGGAGAAGGAAGAAGGAAAAAGAGAAGAAAGAAUACCUGUGUUGAUUGAUAUAUAAGAAGAUUAUAUAAUCGAUGUUUGGUAAUGAGUAAUUAAGAAGAAAAUUCUAACCAAAAAAAAGAAAAAGAAAUUUGUAUAGAUGUUAAU